UACGUAGGCAGCAAGCGUUGUUCGGAAUUACUGGGCGUAAAGAGUGUGUAGGCGGUGUUCUAAGUCUGUUGUGAAAUCUCCCGGCUUAACUGGGAGGGUGCGGCGGAGACUGGAAUGCUAGAGUGUGGGAGAGGUAAGCGGAAUUCCUGGUGUAGCGGUGAAAUGCGUAGAUAUCAGGAGGAACACCAAUUGCGAAGGCAGCUCGCUGGGACGUUACUGACGCUGAGACGCGAAAGCGUGGGGAGCAAACAGG
rnacentral:rRNA from 1 species